AAAGACCAACUGAAGAGGUUUUUUUCGAAAUUGAGAUAGCGAUUGAUUUAGAUAGUAGAUAGCAUCAAAGUUAGUUCCUAAAAAUUUGAGAUUUUAGAAAAGCGUAUUUAUAUUAGAAAAAGUAAUUUGAAAGUGUAAAAAAUAACGAGAUUUGAAAAUCAGCUUCAAUGGCCGAAACCGGAAGUGACGUAUUGUAAUGGACUGAGAAAAUGUAAAUAAAAAUAGACAUGGCUGGAUACGUUAUUGAUAGCGAUUCAGAUGAUAAAUUUAUCUAAAUCUAGCUGUCCAACAAUUUUAAAUGAUACUUAUCAUGGGAUGCACCAAAAUGCCAUGAAGAGAACUCUUCUACUUUUUCAAAAUAUAUUCUAGAGCAGACUAUUGAAUUAAUAUAAUUAUAGAUAGAUUAUAAUAAUAGGACUAGUCACUAGAUUAUCACUAGCACUAGAUCUACUACUCAGAUCUAGACUCUAGAGUGACUCUAGACCUAGUCUACUCUAGUAGUAGUCUCUAGUAUCAUCAAGUACUAGUAGAUCAUCUAGGACUAGGUCUAGAAAACAUAUAUGACAUGUGGCAUACAGACAAGUUCACUAGAUGGAUCUUUCAUCAUUUUGGAAAUACAAUAUUCCCUGUGAAACAAAUCACAGAAACAUUCUACAAUUUUAUUUUAUAUAAUAAAUACCAAUAAAUGUAAAUACAAAAUCACA